rnacentral:rRNA from 1 species
UACGUGGGGAUCGAGCGUUGUCCGGAAUUACUGGGCGUAAAGGGCGUGCAGGUGGUUUGGUAAGCUUGGCGUGAAAGCCCCCGGCCCAACCGGGGAGGGUCGUCGAGGACUGCCAGACUUGAGGGGCGCAGGGGUCGGUGGAAUUCCGGGUGUAGUGGUGAAAUGCGUAGAGAUCCGGAGGAACACCAGUGGCGAAGGCGGCCGACUGGGCGCACCCUGACACUGAGACGCGAAGGCGUGGGGAGCGAACGGG